UACGUAGGGUGCAGGCGUUAAUCGGAAUUACUGGGCGUAAAGCGUGCGCAGGCGGUUCGUUAAGUUCGAUGUGAAAGCCCCGGGCUCAACCUGGGAAUUGCAUUGGAAACUGGCGGGCUUGAGUGUGGCAGAGGGGGGUGGAAUUCCACGUGUAGCAGUGAAAUGCGUAGAGAUGUGGAGGAACACCGAUGGCGAAGGCAGCCCCCUGGGCUAACACUGACGCUCAGGCACGAAAGCGUGGGGAGCAAACAGG
rnacentral:rRNA from 1 species